rnacentral:misc_RNA from 1 species
GAUGAAGAACGUAGCGAAAUGCGAUAAGUAAUGUGAAUUGCAGAAUUCAGUGAAUCAUCGAAUCUUUGAACGCACCUUGCGCUCCUUGGAAUUCCUUGGAGCAUGCCUGUUUGUGUAUCAUGAAAUUCUCAAAACAAACCUUUUGUUAAUUCAUUGGGUUCUGUUUUGGACUUGGAGGCCUUGCGGAUUCACGUCUGCUCCUCUUAAAAGCAUUAGCUGGAUCUCAGUGAGCUCGGUUCCACUCGGCGUGAUAAGUAUCACUCGCUGAGGACACCCGUAAAAAAGGUGGCCGGGAUUUGCAGAUGAACCGCUUCUAAUAGUCCAUUGAAUUGGACAACAUACUUUAUGAUCUGAUCUCAAAUCAGGUAGGACUACCCGCUGAACUUAAGCAUAUCAAUAAGCGGAGGA